UACAGAGGGUGCGAGCGUUAAUCGGAAUUACUGGGCGUAAAGCGUGCGUAGACGGUUAUUUAAGUCGGAUGUGAAAGCCCCGGGCUCAACCUGGGAAUUGCAUUCGAGACUGAAUAGCUAGGGUACGGUAGAGGGAAGCGGAAUUUCCGGUGUAGCGGUGAAAUGCGUAGAUAUCGGAAGGAACAUCAGUGGCGAAGGCGGCUUCCUGGACCAGUACCGACGUUCAGGCACGAAAGCGUGGGGAGCAAACAGG
rnacentral:rRNA from 1 species